UACGUCCACAUCACGUUUAAAGACCGGUUCGCGUACGAUCACCGAAGCUAAGCAACCUCAAGCCUGGUCAGUACUUAGAUGAGUGACCGUUUAGUAAUACCGGGUGGUGUAA